rnacentral:rRNA from 1 species
GAUGAACGCUGGCGGCGUGCCUAAUACAUGCAAGUCGAGCGAACAGACGAGGAGCUUUCUCCUCUGACGUUAGCGGCGGACGGGUUAGUAACACGUGGAUAACCUACCUAUAAGACUGGGAUAACUUCGGGAAACCGGAGCUAAUACCGGAUAAUAUAUUGAACCGCAUGGUUCAAUAGUGAAAGACGGUUUUGCUGUCACUUAUAGAUGGAUCCGCGCCGCAUUAGCUAGUUGGUAAGGUAACGGCUUACCAAGGCAACGAUGCGUAGCCGACCUGAGAGGGUGAUCGGCCACACUGGAACUGAGACACGGUCCAGACUCCUACGGGAGGCAGCAGUAGGGAAUCUUCCGCAAUGGGCGAAAGCCUGACGGAGCAACGCCGCGUGAGUGAUGAAGGUCUUCGGAUCGUAAAACUCUGUUAUUAGGGAAGAACAAAUGUGUAAGUAACUAUGCACGUCUUGACGGUACCUAAUCAGAAAGCCACGGCUAACUACGUG